ensembl:lncRNA
GUCAGAGAGAGAGGCUGAACAUAAGCAUGCAGAGCUGAUAUGACACUGACCAGUGUUUAACCUAGUCAGGUUUAAAACAGAGUUAUUCUGUUCUUCCUGGGGGGAAAAAGCUUAAUCAUUUAGAAUAGUUUUAUUUAGCUUUGAAUGAGCAGAAGUGGAUGAAAUGCCGGCUGGGAAAAGCUCGUCUCUCUGCCAGAUUUUACUGUCUGUCUGCCUCCUGUUUUCCUCUACAGAUGGGAAAAUCAUCAAAGCUGAGUCUGGACAGAAUGUGUCUCUGCCAUGUCAAACUCCAAACAUCAGCAUGCCCAUCAGAGCUGUGGAGUGGUUCAGACUUGACCUGCAGGAAGGACAUGUUCUCAUGUACCGGGGUGAGCAGUUUAUUUCAUUCAACCAGCUUCCAUCGUUUGUGAACCGGGUGGAUCUGCAGGACAGACAGAUGAAGGACGGAGACGCGUCUUUGACUCUGAAGGAUGUGACGAGUGAUGACACUGGAACAUUUCAGUGUUACGUGGUCCAGAGAGGAACAAAUGGCAGGAAAAGCAUUUUUGAGUAUAUCAGCACCGUCUACCUGAGAGUUGUUCCUCCAGGUCAGCCAGGAGGACACAGGAAAGGCAAAGGGAACGAGGAUGUAUCCUCUGGACUGGACUUUUGUUUAACAUUUCCCACACCAUGGAUCACGUGGACAGUCACACCAGUGAAGCUUAAAACCUUUAAUGAACCGAACAUCAACUCGAAAUAAGCACAAAUAUGCAAUGUGUACGAAAUACUCCUGGCCGUACCUGUAAUAAAAGUUAACAUAAUAAAAGGAUCCUUAAAUUAACAUCUUCAAUAAACGACUUUAAUGCAAUAUCAAUACUGUGAGAAAUAUUAUUAAAUGGAAUAAUGCUGUAAAGAAUGUUAUUAAUCCAAUUGUAAUGCUGUAGGUUAUAUGGCAGCAAUAAAAGAAUUUCUGUAUCUCCACACACUCUUGCAGAAAAGGUAUGAAAAACAUUCUGUGCUUAGGAAACAGCAGAAACGAACAGGGUCUGUGUGUGUUAACUAUAAAGUUUGGAAAUAAAGGUAGAGUAACAAACA